rnacentral:rRNA from 1 species
CCCUUAGAUGUUCUGGGCCGCACGCGUGCUACACUGAGUGGAUCAGCGGGUCAGGUUGCGCGAAAGUGUUUCCUAAUCUUGAAAUCCGCUCGUGAUGGGGAUUGACGGUUGCAAUUUUCCGUCAUGAACGAGGAAUACCUUGUAAGCGCGGGUCAUCAUCCCGCGCUGAAUACGUCCCUGCCCUUUGUACACACCGCCCGUCGCUCCUACCGAUUGAUUGGUCCGGUGAGGCUUUGGGAUCUGAGCGGAAAGAGCGUUUCGCUGUUUCUGCUCGGAAAACUCAGUCGAACCUUAUCAUUUAGAGGAAGGAGAAGUCGUAACA